UGGGGAAUUUUGGACAAUGGGGGAAACCCUGAUCCAGCCAUCCCGCGUGUGCGAUGAAGGCCUUCGGGUUGUAAAGCACUUUUGGCAGGAAAGAAACGUCGCGGGUUAAUACCCCGCGAAACUGACGGUACCUGCAGAAUAAGCACCGGCUAACUACGUGCCAGCAGCCGCGGUAAUACGUAGGGUGCAAGCGUUAAUCGGAAUUACUGGGCGUAAAGCGUGCGCAGGCGGUUCGGAAAGAAAGAUGUGAAAUCCCAGAGCUUAACUUUGGAACUGCAUUUUUAACUACCGGGCUAGAGUGUGUCAGGGGGAGGUGGAAUUCCGCGUGUAGCAGUGAAAUGCGUAGAUAUGCGGAGGAACACCGAUGGCGAAGGCAGCCUCCUGGGAUAACACUGACGCUCAUGCACGAAAGCGUGGGGAGCAAACAGGAUUAGAUACCCUGGUAGUCCACGCCCUAAACGAUGUCAACUAGCUGUUGGGGCCUUCGGGCCUUGGUAGCGCAGCUAACGCGUGAAGUUGACCGCCUGGGGAGUACGGUCGCAAGAUUAAAACUCAAAGGAA
rnacentral:rRNA from 1 species